UACGUAGGGUGCAAGCGUUGUCCGGAAUUAUUGGGCGUAAAGAGCUCGUAGGCGGUCUGUCGCGUCUGCUGUGAAAACUCAGGGCUUAACCCUGAGCUUGCAGUGGGUACGGGCAGACUAGAGUGCGGUAGGGGGAGACUGGAAUUCCUGGUGUAGCGGUGAAAUGCGCAGAUAUCAGGAGGAACACCGGUGGGCGAAGGCGGGGUCUCUGGGCCGUAACUGACGCUGGAGGAGCGGAAAAGCCAUGGGGGAGCGAACAGG
rnacentral:rRNA from 1 species